AAUCAUUUAGGCUGGAAAGACCUCUAAAAUGUUCCAGUCCAACAAUUCUCCUGGCACUGCUGAGCCCUCCACACACCUGUCCCCCAGUGCCACAUCUCCUGGAGAAGGCUGUUCUCGGAGUUAAGGCAACAAUUCCAAAUGGCUGGAGUGGAAAACAUUCUCUCUGAUUCCGAGCUGGAAAAUUGAACCAGCGGGUGAGCACAGGGUUCUUCAGUGAUUUGUUUAUUAAUCCAAUUGCAAACAGAUGGUGCACCUACAGGAGAUUUCCAAGAAGAAAACUGCUGUGACCUCGGUGGGUUCGCACGGAGCAUUUCACCAGCCAUUAGGGGUGGUUUAUGAUUUAAUCCAUUUUCAACCCUUCCUUGGCGUUCCCUGCUCCUGUUGCUGGCUGAGGGAAAAAGUUCCAUGUCAAGAAGUGGGGACUGAACCAUGGUUAGUGACUUCAUGGAAACCUUUUACAAUGUCCUGGCUAGACUUUGCUUCUUGGAUUUUAUCUGGCUUAGAUGGGAAUCCAGAAACUUUGAUCGAUGUCAGAGCUGCUGUUGCAUCCUUAGGACUGAAGAUCAAGGGAGUAGAGAAACCACAGCUUUGGCAGGAUGCAGGAGCGUGGGACGUUGGUUGUGAUCAUGGGACACCACAAUGGCCUGGAGUGAGUGGACAAGAGGAAAUGGAUUUGAAUUGAAAGGGAGCACGUUUAAAUGGGAUAUUUGGGAAGGAAUUCCUCACUGUGAGGGUGGCGAGGCACUGGAAUACAAUUCCCAGAGAAGCUGUGGCUGCCCCUGUAUCCCUGCCCAGGGCCAGGUUGGACAGGGCUUGGAGCAGCCUGUGAUGGUGGAUCGUGUCCCUGCCAUGGCAUGGGGUGAAAUUGGAUGAUUUUUAAGAUCCCUUCCAACCCAAACCAUCCUGGAAUUCUACGAUUCAAAUAAUUAAAUCACCACAGGAUGUGAGGCAAAAAGCUGGACAAGGCUGCAAAGAGUCCUAGGAAAUGGAGUUAUUUGGAAUGGUCAAGACUGAAAUUCUGCUUUGAGAGGAGUCAAACGGCUCCCACGGCUGGGGAAGCUGGAGUGAAAAGGCUAAAUGACACCAUUUGUUUGGCUCUGUACUGACACUGGUGGGAGCAUUGCUCAGAUGGUGACUGAUUUAAUGAACAUCACAUCAUUAAACCCAAAAACCCUCCUGAGAAAGCACUGCGAGCUACGGGUGGAACUCCUAGAAACACAAGCGGGAGAAGAAACAUCUGAAUGGAGCAGAUCCCGUUGUUCUCCUGCAGGGGAUUUGUCACGUUUUCUCCUGUCUGAGAUGAAAAGGAAGCGGAAUGGGAAGGAAACUUCCCCAUCUUUCUCUGAGGUGUGGGUAAUAUCCCUGCGAGCAGCAGCGGUGGCUCUCGGCUUUGCGUGGCCUUGGGGUGACGGCGGCUCCCGGCUUUGUGACAGGGAGGGAGUGGCUCAGGGGACAGCUGGGGUGGGAUCUGGGGGCUCUUCUCCAUGGCUCCUGCCAGCAUGGAUCUCUGGAAUGAGAGGGAGCCGAGGGAAGGGGCUGCUGCAGGGAGGUGGAACCACAGGAUGGUUUAGGUCGGAAAAGACCCAUAAGAUCCCCGAGGCCAGCACUAACCCAUGUCGCCAAGUGCCACAUCCACACAGCUUUAAAUCCCCCCAGUGAUGGGGCCUCCACCACUGCCCUGGGCAGCUGUGCCAGGGCUGGACAGCUCUUUCAGUGAAGACAUUUUUUGAAACUCAAAGAAACCCUUCCCUGGUGCAACGUGAAGCCAUUUCCUCUUGUUCUGUGGCUCGUUCUGUUGUCUCUCCUGUGAGAAGAGACCAGCCCCUCCUGGCUCCAACCUCCCCUCAAGGAGCAGCAGAGAGCGAGAAUCCCCAAAACACUGAGGGUGGAGAAGCUCUCCAAGACCAUCGAGCGCAACCUGUGACCCAUCCCCACCUUGUGCACCAGCCCAGAGCACUGAGUGUCCAAUCCUUCCUUGGACACCUCCAGGCAUGGGGACUCCAAACUCCUGGGCAGCCCCUUCCAAUGCCUGACCACCCUUUCCAUGGAGAAAGGGCAGUGGGAGUGCCCCAAGAUUCCCAACAAAAUCCAAAUAAUCCAGCUGGAGCUCUUGGUGCAGAAUAUCCCUGGCCAUGGAAAAAGGAGCAAACGUGUCUGAGUCGAGAAAAGUCCAUCACGACCCAGAGAUGAUUAAAAAUACAGAAUAAAAGCUUACCUGGAGGGACUUGUGAGCGCAUCAAGGGUCUUUGUGCCAAAUGAUUUUAUAAUGGCUGAGGAAGAAAUUAUUUAUUAGUUCAUCAAACAUAAAGGAAUAGUUAAUGAGAGCAUUCGUUAUAAUCUUUGUUGUGGCACAUAAUUAGCAAGCUCUGCUUCCGUCUCAGUGCUGUUGCUGAGCACGUCUGGGAGAGUAAAAUGUGUGAUUUA